CAGCCAUUAAAACUGCGCGGCUUGAGUACAGGCGAGGCAGGCGGAACAAGUCAAGUAGCGGUGAAAUGCAUAGAUAUGACUUAGGACUCCGAUAGCGAAGGCAGCUUGCCAGGCUGGGACUGACGCUGAAGCACGAGAGCGCGGGUAGCGAACAGGAUUAGAUACCCUGGUAGUCCGCGCCGUAAACGAUGCUCACUGGUUCUUGGCGACAUACCGCCAGGGAUUCCGCGAAAGCCUUAAGUGAGCCACCUGGGGAGUACGUCGGCAACGAUGAAACUCAAAGGAAUUGACGGGGGCCCGCACAAGCGGAGGAACAUGUGGUUUAAUUCGAUGAUACGCGAGGAACCUUACCCGGGCUUGAACUGCGCCGGACUCACCCGGAAACGGGUGUUCCCUUUGGGGCCGGCGCGGAGGUGCUGCAUGGUUGUCGUCAGCUCGUGCCGUGAGGUGUCGGGUCAAGUCCCAUAACGAGCGCAACCCUUGCCGCCAGUUGCCAUCAGUUCGGCUGGGCACUCUGGCGGGACUGCCGCCGUAAGGUGCGAGGAAGGCGGGGAUGACGUCAAAUCAGCACGGCCCUUACGCCCGGGGCUACACACGUGUUACAAUGGCCGGCACAGCGGGCAGCGACCUGGUGACAGGGAGCGAAUCUCCAAAGCCGGUCGUAGUUCGGACUGGAGUCUGCAACCCGACUCCACGAAGCUGGAUUCGCUAGUAAUCGCGCAUCAGCCAUGGCGCGGUGAAUACGUUCCCGGGCCUUGUACACACCGCCCGUCAAGCCAUGGAAGCCGNNNNUACCUGAAGAUCGUGACCGCGAGGAGCGAGCUAGGGUAAUACCGGUAACUGGGGGUAAGUCGUAACAAGGUAACCA
rnacentral:rRNA from 1 species